UACGGGGGGAGCAAGCGUUGUUCGGAUUUACUGGGCGUAAAGGGCGCGUAGGCGGCCAGCACAAGUCAGUUGUGAAAUCUCCGAGCUUAACUCGGGAAGGUCAACUGAUACUGUGCGGCUAGAGUGCAGAAGGGGCAACUGGAAUUCUUGGUGUAGCGGUGAAAUGCGUAGAUAUCAAGAGGAACACCUGCGGCGAAGGCGGGUUGCUGGGCUGACACUGACGCUGAGGCGCGAAAGCUAGGGGAGCGAACGGG
rnacentral:rRNA from 1 species